GGUUGUAUGAUGUAGUGGUUAGAGUGCUAGACUAUACUCUGGAGAACAGGGUUCUAUUCCCCACUCAGCCA